rnacentral:rRNA from 1 species
UACAGGGGGAUAGCCCAGAGAAAUUUGGAUUAAUACCUCAUAGUAUUAUGAUGUGGCAUCACAUUAUAAUUAAAGUCACAACGGUAAAAGAUGGGCAUGCGUCCCAUUAGCUAGAUGGUAAGGUAACGGCUUACCAUGGCUACGAUGGGUAGGGGUCCUGAGAGGGAGAUCCCCCACACUGGUACUGAGACACGGACCAGACUCCUACGGGAGGCAGCAGUGAGGAAUAUUGGUCAAUGGACGCAAGUCUGAACCAGCCAUGCCGCGUGCAGGAUGACGGUCCUAUGGAUUGUAAACUGCUUUUGUACGAGAAGAAACAACAUUACGUGUAAUGUCUUGACGGUAUCGUAAGAAUAAGGAUCGGCUAACUCCGUGCCAGCAGCCGCGGUAAUACGGAGGAUCCAAGCGUUAUCCGGAAUCAUUGGGUUUAAAGGGUCUGUAGGCGGUUUGGUAAGUCAGUGGUGAAAGCCCAUCGCUCAACGGUGGAACGGCCAUUGAUACUGCCAGACUUGAAUUACUGGGAAGUAACUAGAAUAUGUAGUGUAGCGGUGAAAUGCUUAGAGAUUACAUGGAAUACCAAUUGCGAAGGCAGGUUACUACCAGUGGAUUGACGCUGAUGGACGAAAGCGUGGGGAGCGAACAGGAUUAGAUACCCUGGUAGUCCACGCCGUAAACGAUGGAUACUAGCUGUUGGUGGCAACAUCAGUGGCUAAGCGAAAGUGAUAAGUAUCCCACCUGGGGAGUACGGGCGCAAGCCUGAAACUCAAAGGAAUUGACGGGGGCCCGCACAAGCGGUGGAGCAUGUGGUUUAAUUCGAUGAUACGCGAGGAACCUUACCAAGGCUUAAAUGUAGUUUGACCGAUUUGGAAACAGAUCUUUCGCAAGACAGAUUACAAGGUGCUGCAUGGUUGUCGUCAGCUCGUGCCGUGAGGUGUCAGGUUAAGUCCUAUAACGAGCGCAACCCCUGUUGUUAGUUGCCAGCGAGUAAUGUCGGGAACUCUAGCAAGACUGCCGGUGCAAACCGUGAGGAAGGUGGGGAUGACGUCAAAUCAUCACGGCCCUUACGCCUUGGGCUACACACGUGCUACAAUGGCCGGUACAGAGAGCAGCCACUUCGUGAGGAGGAGCGAAUCUAUAAAACCGGUCACAGUUCGGAUCGGAGUCUGCAACUCGACUCCGUGAAGCGGAAUCG